UCUAAACAAGCCAAUGUUUCUUAGAAUGAAUAUUGCCUGGAGAGGAUAAUCAAGAUUUAUUUAAACAUUCUUCAAAAUACAAGCCUAUAAUGAAUGAACAUUCUGAAGUGGGAUAACAUUGUGGAAACAACAAAUAUUUGACAGAAUGAAAGCAUGAACAAAAGUUUUGGCAGUAAAUAAGAAUAUCAAGUGAGUCAUAUUCAAAUUAGGAGAAUGAAAUAUAUUUCUUUCAGAAUUUGCUUUCUUGUGCAACAUUUCUAAUGUAUAAAGACAUCAUUAACUGCAAAAGCUGGCUAGAAGAAGAAGAUAGGAGAGAUAUAUCACAAUAAGAAUGACUUGGCAUGAUUGAAAAGUGGCAAGACUACAACAAACUUUCAAACCAUAUUGUUAUUGUUGCAGAUCCCAAGCCCAGAAUGAGAAAGAAGAAGGACA